rnacentral:rRNA from 1 species
AUGCAUAGGAAUCUACCUAGUAGUAUAGGAUAGCCACUAGAAGUGGUGGGUAAUACUGUAUAAUCCCUGCGGGGGAAAGAUUUAUCGCUACAUGAUGAGCCUAUGUUAGAUUAGCUAGUUGGUGGGGUAAUGGCCUACCAAGGCAGUGAUCUAUAGCUGGUCUGAGAGGAUGAUCAGCCACACUGGAACUGAGACACGGUCCAGACUCCUACGGGAGGCAGCAGUGGGGAAUAUUGGACAAUGGGCGCAAGCCUGAUCCAGCUAUGCCGCGUGAGUGAGGAAGGCCUUAGGGUUGUAAAACUCUUUCAGUAGGGAAGAUAAUGACGGUACC